GGAAACCAACAGGGAUUGCCCCAGUAACGGCGAGUGAAGCGGCAAGAGCUCAAAUUUGAAAGCUGGCUCCUUCGGGGUCCGCAUUGUAAUUUGUAGAGGAUGCUUCGGGAGCGGUCCCCAUCUAAGUGCCCUGGAACGGGACGUCAUAGAGGGUGAGAAUCCCGUAUGGGAUGGGGUGUCCGCGCCCGUGUGAAGCUCCUUCGACGAGUCGAGUUGUUUGGGAAUGCAGCUCUAAAUGGGUGGUAAAUUUCAUCUAAAGCUAAAUAUUGGCCGGAGACCGAUAGCGCACAAGUAGAGUGAUCGAAAGAUGAAAAGCACUUUGAAAAGAGAGUUAAAAAGCACGUGAAAUUGUUGAAAGGGAAGCGCUUGCGACCAGACUCGCUCGCGGGGUUCAGCCGGCAUUCGUGCCGGUGUACUUCCCCGCGGGCGGGCCAGCGUCGGUUUGGGCGGUCGGUCAAAGGCCCUCGGAAGGUAACGCCCCUAGGGGCGUCUUAUAGCCGAGGGUGCAAUGCGACCUGCCUAGACCGAGGAACGCG
rnacentral:rRNA from 1 species